UGGUGGUGGGAUCCUGUAGUCCCAGCUAUUCUGGAAGCUGAGGCAGGAGACUGCAGUGAGCUGAGGUCAUGCCACUG
rnacentral:miRNA from 1 species